GCGGCAACUGCGACUGUGCUGACAAGAGCCAGUGUGUGAAGAAGGGAAACGGCUAUGGCAUCGAGAUCAUUGAGACUGAGAAGAGGUACA